UACGUAGGGUGCAAGCGUUAAUCGGAAUUACUGGGCGUAAAGCGUGUGUAGGCGGCCGCGACAGUCGGAUGUGAAAGCCCUGGGCUCAACUCAGGAAGUGCACCCGAUACUACGUGGCUAGAGUACCGGAGAGGUUGGUAGAAUUCUCGGUGUAGAGGUGAAAUUCGUAGAUAUCGAGAGGAAUACCUGUGGCGAAGGCGGCCAACUGGACGGAGUACUGACGCUGAGACACGAAAGCGUGGGGAGCAAACAGG
rnacentral:rRNA from 1 species